ensembl:lncRNA
CAAAACGCAAAGACUAGGGUUGAGAUUUUAAUCAGCAAAAACCCAAGAAAAAGAGAAGAUAAAAAUCUGAAUGUGCAAAUUGGGAACACAAGAAGACCCAAAGACAGGUUGCUGCAGGUCUGGUAAGCAAAACCUUAAUCUGCAGAGAUGAUUAAGAGCUGCAUCCUUGAACCAACCCAGGGUCAUCAUGAGCAACAGCUGUAUGCAGCAAGAGGAUAACAAAAGCAGCAGACUCAAGAUGAAAUGAUGACAAUUCCCCAUCACAGCAGAACACUUCUCUGACUUUGCAGACUGUAUUUACAACCAGAAUGGAAUGUGUUCUGGGCAGAAACAACAGAAAAGCUGGGAGUUGAAUAUCGAACUUCAUGUCUUUAUCCUUGCUGUGAAGACAGACCUUCCACAUUGAGUGAAAAUGCCUGCGUAGAAUUCCAUGAACAAUACCUUAUUUCCUGAAUGGCUUCCAGAAGAAUCGUUGGUACUUAUAUUCUUAGAGGCUAUUAAUGGAUACGGAGGACUCAGAUGGCUGGUCAAGUGAAAAGCCUUGAUCAGAAUUCAGAGCUGUGUGUACCAGAUGUGUUGAGGAAAUGAUUUACUGUAAGCAAAAUAACUGCUCUUGGUUGAAGCACUGAAUCCAGUAAGAUGAAGAAUGUCAAAAGGAGUCUACGAAUGAGACCCAGGAUGGCAGUUCCACUCUUGAUUGAGAGGUUGAGGAAGUGGACUAAUGCAUGAGUGCUGUGAUAUAUCUGUCCAAGAAAAGGACGUUAAAACAUGGACUGCUGUGUUUUUUAAACCAGAGAAGAUCUGGGUUGUGAUCAUCCAAUCAAAAUGGACUUUGCACUUGAAUUAAUCAAGGGACUGUGUCAGUGGUUAUCCAUGAUGGAUCUGUUUCAGGAUUGGGUGGUAAAAUUUUAUUCUCAGAUUACGUAUAUAUGCUUAAGAGGGAAAGUAAUUUGGUAAGAAAUCUGUUACGAUCCCAUUGGACAAAAUGUGUAUAUAUAUAUAUAUUUUUAAAGUGACUUAAUAAAAGGUUUUGGUUUCUUUCAUGCUUUGUGUUUGUCCUUUCUGGCUGAAUCUUUUCUUGGUCAUGUUGAUAUUUAAGUGUGUUACAUUUUUGGUUGCUAUGAAAGUGAGAAAUACUUUAGCUGCCAAGCACUAAAGGCAAGGUAAAUUUUUUUAUGUUCUUGAUGUUUAAAAUGUGGUUUUCAUUUACAAAUUAUCUUCACUUUGCUAUGACUUUUAAUGAAUAUUUAUUCUGGUUUGUUCAUUCAGGUGCUUAAUGUUGGGCAUUUUUCUAAACUUGGUGUGUUGUCAGGGUGCUUCUGCUAAGCUUUCUGAAGUUAUUUUAACGUGGAAUCGGUAUCAUAUUGAAGGCUGGGCAAAUGUGUUAUAAUAAAGGAGUGCUUGAAUGUUUUCUGUAGGUUCGUUAGAUGUGCUUAUUCAGUCGUGUGUGUACAGAAACUUACCAGACUUCCUGGACAACAUACUUCCUAAACAGUCUAUUUUCCUAAAAUUGUUCUGGACAUGUACCUAAUCUGUUUCGCUGCUAUUUAAUGUGGGCAUUGCUUCCUGAUUCUGUACCAUGUAUUUGAUGAGGAAAACUGUGUUAAUUUUCUUACUGGUGCUGACUAUGGUUGCUUUUUCAAAUGAAUGUGAAGGUGGUUCUUACGUGAAAAUUCUUUGCAGAUUUUUUUGCGAAUGAAAUAAUUGAACUAUAUUUCAAGUACAUUUCGCUUGAAAUUCAUGGUUGUCUGUGUCAGUUUGGUCUUCAUGUGGAAGACAAAUCUCAUUCUGAAGUCUUAAGCAAUGGAGUUUUAGUGUUUUUUUUAUAAAAAAGAAGAAAAAGAAAAAAACAAAUGGGGUAUUCAGUGAUUUUUGCGCCUUUAGGCCUCUUUGGAAAUAU